rnacentral:rRNA from 1 species
CAGAACGAACGCUGGCGGCGUGCUUAACACAUGCAAGUCGAACGCGAAAGGGACUUCGGUCCUGAGUAAAGUGGCGCACGGGUGAGUAACGCGUAGAUAACCUGUCUUCAUGUCUGGAAUAAUACGCCGAAAGGGGUACUAAUACCGGAUAUUCUUGCUUUUCAUAAGUUAUGCAAGCAAAGGUGGCCUCUGCAUAUGCUACUGCAUGAAGAGGGGUCUGCGUACCAUUAGCUAGUAGGUGGGGUAAUGGCCUACCUAGGCGACGAUGGUUAGCGGGUCUGAGAGGAUGAUCCGCCACACUGGCACUGGAACACGGGCCAGACUCCUACGGGAGGCAGCAGUGAGGAAUAUUGCGCAAUGGGGAAACCCUGACGCAGCGACGCCGCGUGAGUGAGGAAGGCCUUCGGGUCGUAAAGCUCUGUCAAGAGGAAAGAAGUGUACAAUGGCUAAUACCUGUUGUAUUUGACGGUACCUCUAAAGGAAGCACCGGCUAACUCCGUGCCAGCCGCCGC